UGUGACAUGAUUUUGAGAAGAGUAUUUAUUUCUUAAGAAUUUUUAUGUGAACAAUUUUACCUCAAUUAAAGGUUAGAUUUCUCUUAUAAUCUAAGCUCAAACUAAUAAACAACAAUGCAUUUUUUCCAAGAGUGCCAAUAAUUAUUAACAUUACAUUGUACAGAAGAUCCAUUUUAUAUAUAUAUAUAUACCCCCAGUGGAUAUAAAAAGUCUACACACCCCUGUUAAAAUGCCAGGUUCCUGUGAUGUGAAAGAAUGAGACAAAGAUAAGCCAAUACUUGCCAGAUUUCCCCCUUGAAGAUUUCAGUUUGUUUUUCAAUUGAAUUGUUCACAUUAUAGGUCACAUUAAAAGUGAAAAAAGUUCUGACAUGAUUUAUCUUUGUCUCAUUCUUUUACAUCACAAAAACGUGGCAUUUUAACAGGGGUGUGUAGACUUUUCAUAUCCACUGUAUAUAAAUAUACUAUAUAUAUUUAUAUUUACAUUACAUACCAGUAAGCAAAAGUGCUUUGUUGCAUGAAAUAACAAAACAAAUACAGUUAAAAAGAAUAAAACAUUUCAUAUACCAGGUGGUUUGAGCCCUGAAUGCUGAUUGGCUGAAAGCCUAAAAUAGAUUUUGCUGUUCUAACAGCAUUGGUAACCAAUUUAUAAUCACAACAAGGCUCCUCAGGGGGUUAGGGCACACUAUCAAUUUGCCAAGGCUAAGCGCUGCUUCCUCUCUGUUUUGCAAUGUGCCUAAGAAUAGCCCUUAGCCAUGUUGUCUUGACUAGAUACUACCCUCUUGUACCUUAUUGCUUAAGGAUAUGGAAACCCCUUAGUACAGUGUCUGUAUCCUAAACAUUGGAUUCAUGGAGGUUUCAACCAAAUGCACAUUUGACAACCAAAUCAAAUGCCUGUCAGACUACGUAGUGAAUAUAACAGACAGCGAUUCAACCAUUAAGCAGGAAAGCACUUGUAACAGAUAACUCACAGUUAAACAGUGUAUAACAGUUAUGCCCAUAUCCCAAUUCUAAUUUUAAAAAAGCAGGUUAAAGUAAU
ensembl:lncRNA